rnacentral:rRNA from 1 species
UGGGGAAUUUUGGUCAAUGGGGGAAACCCUGAUCAAGCCAUCCCGCGUGUGCGAUGAAGGCCUUCGGGUUGUAAAGCACUUUUGGCAGGAAAGAAACGUCAUGGGUUAAUACCCCGUGAAACUGACGGUACCUGCAGAAUAAGCACCGGCUAACUACGUGCCAGCAGCCGCGGUAAUACGUAGGGUGCAAGCGUUAAUCGGAAUUACUGGGCGUAAAGCGUGCGCAGGCGGUUCGGAAAGAAAGAAGUGAAAUCCCAGAGCUCAACUUUGGAACUGCAUUAUUAACUACCGGGCUAGAGUGUGUCAGAGGGAGGUGGAAUUCCGCGUGUAGCAGUGAAAUGCGUAGAUAUGCGGAGGAACACCGAUGGCGAAGGCAGCCUCCUGGGAUAACACUGACGCUCAUGCACGAAAGCGUGGGGAGCAAACAGG